GCCCGAUUAGCUCAGCUGGUUAGAGCGUCGUACUAAUACUGGAAACAGUGUAUAGUAAUGCGAAGGUCAACAGUUCAAUCCUGUUAUUGGGCA
rnacentral:tRNA from 1 species